rnacentral:rRNA from 1 species
UACGUAGGUGGCAAGCGUUAUCCGGAUUUAUUGGGCGUAAAGGGAACGCAGGCGGUCUUUUAAGUCUGAUGUGAAAGCCUUCGGCUUAACAGGAGUAGUGCAUUGGAAACUGGGAGACUUGAGUGCAGAAGAGGAGAGUGGAACUCCAUGUGUAGCGGUGAAAUGCGUAGAUAUAUGGAAGAACACCAGUGGCGAAAGCGGCUCUCUGGUCUGUAACUGACGCUGAGGUUCGAAAGCGCGGGUAGCAAACAGG